rnacentral:rRNA from 1 species
UACGGAGGGUGCGAGCGUUGUCCGGAAUCAUUGGGCGUAAAGGGCGCGUAGGCGGCAGGCCAAGCGUGCGGUGAAAGUCCGGGGCUCAACCCCGGAUCUGCCGUGCGGACUGGUUUGCUAGAGCACUGUAGAGGCGAGUGGAAUUCCGGGUGUAGCGGUGGAAUGCGUAGAGAUCCGGAAGAACACCGGUGGCGAAGGCGGCUCGCUGGGCAGUGGCUGACGCUGAGGCGCGACAGCGUGGGGAGCAAACAGG